rnacentral:rRNA from 1 species
GUGCGCCCGCCUCACGGCCGCCGGGGGGCUUCUGCCCCCGGGUCCGCGCGCACCGGAGACACUAUUGAACUCUGUCUGAAGAUUGCAGUCUGAGCAUAAACUAAAUAAGUUAAAACUUUCAACAACGGAUCUCUUGGUUCCGGCAUCGAUGAAGAACGCAGCGAAAUGCGAUAACUAAUGUGAAUUGCAGAAUUCAGUGAAUCAUCGAGUCUUUGAACGCACAUUGCGCCCCCUGGUAUUCCGGGGGGCAUGCCUGUCCGAGCGUCAUUGCUGCCCUCAAGCACGGCUUGUGUGUUGGGCUCCGUCCCCCCGGGGACGGGUCCGAAAGGCAGCGGCGGCACCGAGUCCGGUCCUCGAGCGUAUGGGGCUUUGUCACCCGCUCUGUAGGCCCGGCCGGCGCCAGCCGACAACCAAUCAUCCUUUUUUCAGGUUGACCUCGGAUCAGGUAGGGAUACCCGCUGAACUUAAGCAUAUCAAUAGCGGAGGAA